rnacentral:rRNA from 1 species
GACGAACGCUGGCGGCGUGCCUAAUACAUGCAAGUAGAACGCUGAAGAGAGGAGCUUGCUCUUCUUGGAUGAGUUGCGAACGGGUGAGUAACGCGUAGGUAACCUGCCUUGUAGCGGGGGAUAACUAUUGGAAACGAUAGCUAAUACCGCAUAACAAUAGGUGACACAUGUCAUUUAUUUGAAAGGGGCAAUUGCUCCACUACAAGAUGGACCUGCGUUGUAUUAGCUAGUAGGUGAGGUAACGGCUCACCUAGGCGACGAUACAUAGCCGACCUGAGAGGGUGAUCGGCCACACUGGGACUGAGACACGGCCCAGACUCCUACGGGAGGCAGCAGUAGGGAAUCUUCGGCAAUGGGGGCAACCCUGACCGAGCAACGCCGCGUGAGUGAAGAAGGUUUUCGGAUCGUAAAGCUCUGUUGUAAGUCAAGAACGAGUGUGAGAGUGGAAAGUUCACACUGUGACGGUAGCUUAACAGAAAGGGACGGCUAACUACGUG